rnacentral:lncRNA from 1 species
CUGAUGUCAGGUAACUUUAUAUUAUACCCUGAAAAAAUCAUUGAACUAAGAAGGUGUAAUGUUUCUGUAUUUAAAAUAUUUUUUCUGUUUUAUUUUGUGUGUUAAGAGAAGUGAAUAUAUUUGGCUAAUUUGGAACUUGUACCACAUAUAGCCAUUGAAGAGCUAUAAAAGAGCUAAUAAACUGUGACAAAGGAACAGAAUUUACUUUUGUAAAAUAUUUUCAAUAAUGGAAACAGAAAUAAAAAAUGACAAAAUGCUUUUAUGGAGAAAAACCCAUCUUUCACUUAAGUUUAGAAAACCAGUCUAGAAAGUUCAGAUUCAGUCUAUGCUCAAAUUUAAGAGCUCGGUGGUAAUCCCUGUGCCUGUUUAUAUUAACUAAGCUUCUUUGUUCCAAAAUUCUAAGCAAUACUUCACAUUAUUACAAGAUAAAUAUGCAGAUUUUAAAAAUAAUUGUUAUCCUCUGCUUUUAGUGAAACAUAUUAAGUACUUUUUAGAUCAACUAUAAAUGUAAUUCUUGUACAAAGUUCUAAAAAGAUGUAAUUAAUUAAUUACUGUGUGUUUAGGUAGCAUACCCAUGUGGACUUUUGUAUUUGGGAACAACCACAAUAUUAAAGAUAAAAUUGUCUAUGUUUUGAAUCAGAAUAAAGUGAAGAAUGAUAAAUAUGCAUCUAUCCAGUUGAUGAAAAAGAAUGAGAAUGUAUGUGCUGACUUGGGAUCUACGGAACCAACCGGAAGCCCUUUUAUCACACUUGUUCCUGCAUCCACUCUGUAUCCAAGACCCCACAUCUCUGAUCCAAGUACAUUUUGUAAUGACAAACCUGAUGGUAACUAUGCUUAUCCAACAAAUCCACACAAAUAUUAUAGAUGCUCUAAUGGGCAGACAGUAGUCAUGAACUGUCCAGGAGGCUUUGUCUACAGUGCCAUCAAGGAUUGGCCAAGUGAUUUGAUUGUGGAUAAGUUUUGUGAAGACAGACCUAAUGGCAAUUACAGUUACCGACCAGAUCCACACAAGUACUAUGCUUGCUGCGAUGGGAACACUGAGCUCAAAGAUUGUCCACCAGACCAGCUUUUUAUUAACUUUGAACGCCAGUGUAGCUGGCCACGCAGAUUUUGAAAUGCUACAAAUGCAUUGGAUAAGAAAUGUACAAUUAACUUUCCCAAGGACCACAUGAAACACUGGGGCUGUUGUGGAGGGCUGCCCCCACUACCACUGCCCCCUGCCCCCACCCUGUUCCUUUCCUGCUGCCAUCCCUGUUGGCCCCCGGCCUAACGACACCUCCAACACUGCAGGCUGGACAUGGACAACAGAAGGACCAGAUGUGGUGUGUGAAUCGUAAAAUGCCCAGAUCUGCAUUGGAGGGACACACAUGUAAUAGCAACAAGAGUUGGAAGGUACCUUGGAGGUCAUCUAGUCCAACCCCGUUCUUGUAGGAGACCCAUACUAUUUCUGAUAAAUGGCUGUUCACUCUCUUCUUAAAAGCCUCCAGUGAUGGAGCAUUUUGAAAUACUCCAGUAACUCUUCAAGGCUUUCUAUACUAUGCUAGUACUGAUGAAUCUUCAAAGUAAGCGGAAAAGCAUAAUUAACUCUCAUGUCUGCUGAUCACUUCAUCUUCUUUAAAUGUAGCAAUGACAUUUAUUUUUUAAUCUCGCUACUGUACCAUGAUACUGUUCUUAGUUGGAAGUAAGGAAAAGCAAUCACCGUUUGGCUUUAUACCUGAUAUGGUGAUUAGAUUCUUUUUCCACUUCACAUUCCAAAGCAAUCUCAUGAAAGUUAUAUAGGUAAAUUUACUGUGGAAAAUUAGGAAGUCAUACGUACAAGAAAUUAUGCACAAGAAAUUCUCUAACAAGACCUUGAAUUCUGACUCUCUCUUCCUAUCUUUUCAAUUCAACAAUCAUGUGGUCCUGAAAAUUCCUGCCAUCUUCCCCUUGUUUAUAAAACAGCUAUCUCUGACAUGAGAAUAUGCACUUCUCCAACUUUCAACUUUAUAAUUUAUUGUAAAUAAAAGUGGCAAUUUAUUGUAAUAAAAGUGGCA